rfam:Mycobacterium sp. TBL 1200985 NODE_2_length_340357_cov_44.9617, whole genome shotgun sequence.
AACCAACCACGCGGGAGCGCACGCCUAGUGCGCUGAGAGGACGGCUCGGGGCCGUCGACCGUACGAACCUGACCGGGUAAUGCCGGCGUAGGGAGAUGAAAGAUGACUGUCA